CAGAUGAACCACAACGUGUGCAGGUCACAACAGGUCACCACAUGCAGGUCGGAGGUCACACAGCCACCGUCCACAACCUGACCCCUAAGAGUGGAUACCAGCUGUCUGGAGUGGACACAGAAGUGGAUUCCUUACAGCAUCGGGACUCCCGUCAAGAUCUCGGUCACCCUCGGAGUCUCGUCACUGGCAACUUCCCGAGGAGCUGCGUCUGUGCGUCACACUCCACCUCCAAGCUAACCCAGGACUGUCCCAGGCUGAGCUGCAUGACAUAACCUAUACCAAGAUCGAACCCGCCUGCAACCUCAAGAUCAAGUACGGGUCACCCAAGCCUAGGAGACAGAGUAGCCCUCGCCGAUCUAAGAGACGGCUCUCAACGCAAUCAAGUUCCUGAGCAUUGACCUGAGGGACAGCAACACCCUGGUGGGCAGCGUGUGGCCCGGCUGGGUGCAGACGGAUAUGAGUGGCCGCAACGCUCCCCUCACACCGGCACAGAGCAUUGCCAACAUCUGCAUCUCCUCGGCCCUAUGAACGAUGCACACCACGGACAGUUUUACCAGCAGGACGGCAUCAAGCUACCCGGGUGAUUGCUGUUUGUCGAGUGGAGGAGACAGGAACAAGGCUAAACUAAUACAGAGAAAGAAAAACUACCCUGGUGAUUGCUGUGUGUCUGGGCGUCAAGAUGGUUGUGCUGCUAGCUAGAGGCCGCCAAGGACCUGAGAACAGCAUGCAGGCUCAACACUGCUGGACAGACCAACACAAGUGGCUCGGGAAGUGCAGCCGUCCAGGCCGGUGUGAGCCUUGCUGUGUUGUGCCAAACUCUGUGUACAUAAGACAGAAGUAAGUUGUGCAGUGUAAAAAGCCAUUAGGUAGUGUAGUAUCUGUACAUUUCCGUAAAUAAAGACUGAUGCAAUA